CCCUUAGAUGUUCUGGGCCGCACGCGCGCUACACUGAUGCAUGCAACGAGUUCUAUCCUUGGCCGGAAGGCCUGGGUAAUCUGUGAACGUGCAUCGUGAUAGGGAUAGAUUAUUGCAAUUAUUAAUCUUGAACGAGGAAUUUCUAGUAAACGCAAGUCAUCAGCUUGCAUUGAUUACGUCCCUGCCCUUUGUACACACCGCCCGUCGCACCUACCGAUCGAAGGUAAUGAUGAGCCCUCAGGAUUGUGGCCUCGUCGCGUCAGCGUCUUGGCUGCGAGAAUCUGUGCAAAUCCCUACCUUUAGAGGAAGGUGAAGUCGUANCA
rnacentral:rRNA from 1 species